rnacentral:misc_RNA from 1 species
UCAAACUUGGUCAUUUAGAGGAAGUAAAAGUCGUAACAAGGUAACCGUAGGUGAACCUGCGGUUGGAUCAUUAAAAAAUCCUUCAGGGCUGAAGCCUGUGGCCUAGGCUGCAUGGCUUUGCCCGACACACACCUUUGUGAACCACAAACGUAUUUUGGUGAAGCCUCCGCGAGGGGAUCUCCUUCGCGUGUGGGAUGUUUGCUGGCGCCGACGCUUGAUUGCGCCGGGGACGGCACAUCCGUUCGCUUCACCGACCAACACCUGUUUUAACAUUUUGUUGUACAUAAUAAAGAGAAAUCAAUGAGAAACAACUUUAGACAACGGAUCUCUUGGCUCUCGCAUCGAUGAAGAACGCAGC